AUACGGAGGGUGCAAGCGUUAUUCGGAAUCACUGGGCGUAAAGGACGCGUAGGCGGGUUGGCAAGUCAGAUGUGAAAUCCUACAGCUUAACUGUAGAACUGCAUUUGAAACUGCCGACCUAGAGUAUGGGAGGGGGAGAUGGAAUUAGUGGUGUAGGGGUAAAAUCCGUAGAUAUCACUAGGAAUACCGAAAGCGAAGGCGAUCUCCUGGAGCAUAACUGACGCUAAGGCGUGAAAGCGUGGGGAGCGAACAGGAUUAGAAACCCCAGUAGUCC
rnacentral:rRNA from 1 species